UAAUGAAUAAAAUCCAUAAACAAAAUAAAACUGAAAUGAUACAGAGAGGAUUCACAUGACCUCUGUGCAUGGAUGACACAGAUUUGUAAAGCACUCCAUCCUUUA
ensembl:snRNA U6 U6 spliceosomal RNA